GAAUAUGCUGUAUUUUGAAGUAUGCAAAAGUACGGAAUUUGGAAAUUAUCGUGUACAUUUGUCCUAAAAUAGCAUCCGUCGAUGAAAAAAGGAGCGAAAAGUUUCACGUUUUAUGCGUUGAUGAUUUUGGUUUUCGGGUCGUUGAUGUAUGUCGUCAUCCGCGAAGGCGAAAGCCAUCAGAGGGUGACGGAGGCGGUUGUGCAGGCGGAUGCGCCGAGGAAUCUGGCCGAGGGGUUUACCGUUUUUCUGCAACUGGUGUCUGAGCAUGUUCACUCUUCGUUCGGAUUGUUGUUGCUGCAAAUCAUUGUCAUUCUGAUUACAUGCCGCAUUGUCGGAGUGCUUUUCAAGAAGAUCGGACAGCCGAUGGUGAUCGGUGAGAUUUUGGCGGGAAUCAUUCUGGGGCCGUCUGUGCUCGGGCAUUUCACACCGGAGUUUUCACAGUUCCUGUUUCCCAAAGAAUCGUUAUCGAACAUCAACCUGUUCAGUCAGUUCGGACUGAUGCUUUUCAUGUACACCAUCGGGAUGGAAUUAGACAUGGGAGUGGUACGCAAGAAAUUGCGGGAGACGAUGAUGAUCAGUUAUACGUGCAUGUUGAUGUCGUUCUUCCUCGGCAUGCUGGCCGCCUAUCUUGUCUAUGACCGGUAUGCCGAUCAGCAUACGCCUUUUCUGCCUUUUGCCCUGUUCAUCGGCAUCACGAUGAGUAUUACGGCUUUCCCAGUGCUGGCACGCAUCAUUCAGGAGCAUCGUCUGACGCGUACCCAUCUGGGCACGGUGGCGCUGGCCAGCGCAGCCAAUGGCGAUGUUACGGCGUGGUGUCUGCUGGCUAUCGUGGUGGCAGUGGCACAGGCCGGUACGAUGCUGAGCGCAGUUUAUAAUAUCGUUUCCGCAGCCGUGUACAUCCUGAUGAUGUUUACUGUUGUACGUCCGCUGUUGCGGAUGGUCGGCAACUUGUAUCAUAACAAGGAAGUGGUGAGUAAACCGCUCGUGAUGCUGAUGUUCCUGCUCUUGCUGAUGUCUUCUUAUCUAACCGAAAUCUUGGGUUUGCAUGCGCUGUUCGGCGCCUUUGUCACAGGAUUGGUAAUGCCGGAGAAUUUGCGUUUCCGGAAAAUUAUGACGGAAAAGGUCGAAGAUAUAUCACUUGUGCUGUUCCUUCCGCUGUUUUUCGCAUCGACAGGGUUGCGUACCGAAAUCGGGCUGAUUGAUUCGCCCGACAUGUGGCUGACCUGCCUGCUCUUCAUCGCUUUUUCGACUGUUGGCAAGUUCGGUGGCGCGUUGCUCUCGGCACGAUUCGAGCACGAAAGCUGGAAAAACAGCUUCUCGCUCGGAGCGCUGAUGAACACGCACGGACUGAUGGAGCUGAUUGCGCUUACCAUCGGAUAUGAAAUGAAAAUCCUCCCGCCACCCAUCUUCGUGAUGUUAAUUUUGAUGACGCUUGUCACCACGUUUAUGACGACUCCGCUCCUGAAGUUCAUCCAUCUUUGCUUCCGCACGGGUGAGAAGAUCAAACAGCAACGGAUGGAGCAGUUUAAAGAAGGACGGUUUAAGGUGCUGCUCUCUUUCGGGCGGGCAGGCAACGGACAGAUUAUGCUUGAUGUGGCGCAUCAGAUGUUCUCGCAGGGUAAGGACAAACUUGAUCUGACGGCAUUGCACCUGACGGUCGGGUCGGAUAUCAACCCGCUGCAUACCGAUAAUUUUGAGCGUGUCAGUUUCGGUCCCAUCCUCUACGAGGCGCGCAAACUGAAUAUGCAGAUACACACGCGUUAUGAAGUGGCGGAUCAUGCGAGCGAAUCCAUCGUCCGUAUCGUCAAUGACGAGCCGUUCGACUUCCUGCUUGUGGGCGCCGGUAUCUCGAUGAGCAACCUCUCGUCCGAUAUGGAUGCGCAGAGUAUCCAAAAGUCGUUCUUCGGAAUCUUCAAGAAACUCAAGGUGCAAGACCUGUUCUCGCCCGGAUCGCUGAUUCAUGAUAAAACGAAGGAAUUCAUUGAGCGGAGUCACUCGUCGGUGGGGGUCUUCAUCAACCGAGGGUUCGUACAGGCGAACCAUAUCCUGAUCCUUAUCAAUUCGUCGGACGAUCUGAUCCUGCUCGACUACGUGCGCGUGCUGUUGCGGUCGACGCAUGGCACGGUCAGCCUUCUGAACCGGACGAAUUUCGUCUCCGACCCAAGCGACCACAUCGUCCGUACCCUGACUGAUUUCACGAACGAGACGGAGAAUGCGCACAUACUGCCCGAAAAGAACGUGAUGAGCGAAUCGUUCAGCGAUCAUGAUUUUAUGCUCGUCAGCUAUACGGCGUGGAACAUUAUUUCGGAAGAAUGCAAAGACGCCCUUCAGGAUAUGCCCUCCACACUGAUCAUCCACCAUCGGGAAAAGGUGUAAAUCGUUUUGCGUUCUUUGCGGUAAAGAAUAAAUCGCAAGGAUCGUAAGGUUUCAGUCAGCGUUCAGCCGUCAGCAUUCAGCCCCCUCUGCGCUCGGAUACCGUGUACCCGGCAUAACAAUUAACCAUUGACCAUUAAUUUGUCAUUCAGAGCGAAGCGAAGAAUUUCUUCCCUUUCCCCUGCGAGAUUCCUCACGGUGUUCGGAAUGACAAAGGAGGUUAUUUGCGUUGAUUUGCGCCCAUUUGCGAAAUUCGCGUUCGGAUAUUGCCGACACCACACAAAAAAAGGGCGAACACUGAGGUUCGCCCCUACACGGCAUACCACACGCUGUUUGCUGAUGGCUGACCGCACCGCAUUCCCCCCUUUGAAGGGAUAACAUCCCCCCUUCGCUUCGCUCUUCCCCCCUUUGAAGGGGGGGGGAUGUUCCUCUGCGUUCGGGACAUCGUCUUUUGUCAUUCAGAGCGAAGCGAAGAAUCUCUUCCCUUUCCCCCGUGAGAUUCCUCACUGCGUUCGGAAUGACAAAGGGACAUCCAAAUUCAUAUUCAUUCAGGCUUUCAGCCCUCCGCCGAGGGGGUUGCCCUGUUUUUUUUCCAACGCUUCGCUUCGCUGCGCAUUGGGCUGAAUUAAUACGCCCUUUCAGGGCUCUUACAACGGUCAGCAAACAGAUCAACAACUAAACAGAUCAACAAUCGAACACCUCAACACCUCAACGCCCCGAAGGGGUUAGCUCGCCCGAGGCCCAAGGGCUGAAAGCCCGGUAUAUUUCAGCCCCAUCCCGUAAGGGUGGGGUAUCGAUUCCCCGACCCCGUUGGGAGGGCUGAAAGCCUGACAUAAUUUGACAGGUACGUAUGCGCCGCCCCCAUAAGCACGUAUGGGGCAUCCCCAUAAGCAUGUAUACGCCCGGCGCAUAUUCUAUGUCAUUUAACUGUUAAUGUCUUCUCGAACACACUUGUUCGAGGUGUUAUCGGCUGCGUUUGUCUGCCUCUUUGUUUUAUGACCGUUCCUGUUUAUUGUUCUUAACGGUACAAAGAUACAACAGCCUCUCCAAGUUACGCAAUGAGUAAAUUACUCAAUUUUGCUGUUUGUACGAACGCGAAUUUCGCGAAUGGACACAUCCGAACGCCUCUGCGUUCGGUCUUUUGUCAUUCAGAGCGCUCUUUCCGUUACUUUUGGCUUGACCCAAAAGUAACCAAAAAGUCAAGGCUUCGUGCGCUUCACACGCCUUCGCGACGCUCGUAGGGCGGAAAAUCAGGUAACUCGCUUCGCUCGGACAGCCUGAUUUUCUAUCGCCCUGCUGCUCGCUGCUCCGUCGGCUCACCGCCCGAGGCCCAUGGACGAACGCCAAAAUGAAUGGUCAAUGGUUAUUUUCUAAAUACAUGAUUCGGCGUGUACCACGCAUAACAAUUAACCAUUGACAAUUAACAAUUGAAUUACGUCAGGCUUUCAGCCCUCCGCUGAGGGGGUCGCUCUUUCCCCAACGCUUCGCUGCGCUCCACAUUGGGCUGAAUUAACGCGCCCUUUCAGGGCUCUUCUCUAAUGGUUAAUUGUCAAUGGUUAUGCGUGGUACAUAUUGUAGAGACGCAAACCUUGGCAACACGGCGG
rnacentral:sRNA from 1 species